UAUUUUUCUAUGUAUUCUUUUCAGGGCCACUUUAGGAAAAAAGCAGCCUUGUGUUGCUGGAACAAUUUGUUCAUAAUUCUGGAUUAGUCUGGGACUGCUUUUUCAUAAACAGCAGUUGAAGGCCCAUCCAUUUGGCUCAGGAGGUCCUCUGUGAGGAGAUUUGGUCCUUGUGCAUUUCUCUCUCCGUCUCUGCCGCAGCAAAAGACAAGGAAAUGGAAGCGUACAGUCAUUUGCCCAAGGUCAGAGAACCAGUAAAGGAGGAUUCCAACUCAGAGCCAUGCAUGAAACUUGGCAAAUGGAUAGUGAAUUAGUGGUAGAAGAGGUGAGCAAAUGAAUGAAUGAGACCUGUGGGUAGGAGUAAAAGACAAACUCAGGAAAGCACAAGUGAUGGUGACCAGCAGCUUCUAAACUCUGUUGAUGCGGUGACUUGAUCAAGAUAGCCAAACACCUGAGUUUCUGUCUGCUCCAGCAAGUCACAUGCAGCAUCUAAAGGAAUUGCAGAACAGUUUCAUUCCCGACGUGGUUCACCCAACACUUUACUCUGCCUAUGGACACUGUCCCCUGACCCCUACAAGAUUUCCUCCUUCGCCACCCAUCCCCAAUACAUCCUCACACAAAUCACUUUGCAGUGACUUUCAAUAUCAGUUGAACUGGGGGUGGAGAAAAAAGAAAAAAAGGAAAAAAAGAACCUUAAAGAAAAAAAAAUCUACUUUGCACAGGUGCAAUGACACCCCUUGAUGAAGAAAGGCUCCCUGGAUGCCUACAACAGAACCCAGUUUUGCACAAUAACCCCGGCUGCAAUGUGAGGCUUUGGAGUAAUGUGAUCUGUUUUCACACAGCCUAGUGUUAGGGUGCUGCUGCCACUCACUCUAAAGAUCCCAUCAGCUUUCCUUGAAGGAGGUGUUCCAGUGUGUUCAUUCUCCCACUGUUUGCUUUCAUCACCCUCGUGCUCAAGGUUUGAAUACCAUAAUCACAAUGCAGAGAGUGUUGGGAGGUAUUUAUUUUUAUCCCAACUGCCAGCAUCAUCACAGUGUGUGUGAUCCAAAUUUACACUCUGCAUAUACACAGCAUGUGGCCCUGCUGCCGAGCCAACUGCUUUCCCU